rnacentral:rRNA from 1 species
AUUGAACGCUGGCGGCAUGCCUUACACAUGCAAGUCGAACGGUAACAGGUCUUCGGAUGCUGACGAGUGGCGAACGGGUGAGUAAUACAUCGGAACGUGCCCGAGAGUGGGGGAUAACGAAGCGAAAGCUUUGCUAAUACCGCAUACGAUCUCAGGAUGAAAGCAGGGGACCGCAAGGCCUUGCGCUCACGGAGCGGCCGAUGGCAGAUUAGGUAGUUGGUGGGAUAAAAGCUUACCAAGCCGACGAUCUGUAGCUGGUCUGAGAGGACGUCCAGCCACACUGGGACUGAGACACGGCCCAGACUCCUACGGGAGGCAGCAGUGGGGAAUUUUGGACAAUGGGCGCAAGCCUGAUCCAGCCAUGCCGCGUGCAGGAUGAAGGCCUUCGGGUUGUAAACUGCUUUUGUACGGAACGAAAAGACUCUGGUUAAUACCUGGGGUCCAUGACGGUACCGUAAGAAUAAGCACCGGCUAACUACGUGCCAGCCGCCGCCGUAA